CAGGCCUAACACCUGCAAGUCGAACGGUAGCACAGAGAGCUUGCUCUCGGGUGACGAGUGGCGGACGGGUGAGUAAUGUCUGGGAAACUGCCCGAUGGAGGGGGAUAACUACUGGAAACGGUAGCUAAUACCGCAUAACGUCUUCGGACCAAAGUGGGGGACCUUCGGGCCUCACACCAUCGGAUGUGCCCAGAUGGGAUUAGCUAGUAGGUGGGGUAAUGGCUCACCUAGGCGACGAUCCCUAGCUGGUCUGAGAGGAUGACCAGCCACACUGGAACUGAGACACGGUCCAGACUCCUACGGGAGGCAGCAGUGGGGAAUAUUGCACAAUGGGCGCAAGCCUGAUGCAGCCAUGCCGCGUGUAUGAAGAAGGCCUUCGGGUUGUAAAGUACUUUCAGCGGGGAGGAAGGCGGUGGAGUUAAUAGCUUCAUCGAUUGACGUUACCCGCAGAAGAAGCACCGGCUUACUCCGUGCCAGCAGCCGCGGUUAU
rnacentral:rRNA from 1 species